GGAGGUAUGGCUCUGUGGCAGAACACUGGCCUAGCAAACACAAAGUCCUGGGUUCAAACCCUAGUACCACCA
rnacentral:tRNA from 1 species